UACGUAGGGUGCAAGCGUUAAUCGGAAUUACUGGGCGUAAAGCGUGCGCAGGCGGUUUUGUAAGUCUGUCGUGAAAUCCCCGGGCUCAACCUGGGAACUGCAUUUGUGACUGCAUAGCUAGAGUACGGUAGAGGGGGAUGGAAUUCCGCGUGUAGCAGUGAAAUGCGUAGAUAUGCGGAGGAACACCGAUGGCGAAGGCAAUCCCCUGGACCUGUACUGACGCUCAUGCACGAAAGCGUGGGGAGCAAACGAGGAU
rnacentral:rRNA from 1 species